AUGUUGCAAUAUGAUUUUUCUUGUUUCAAACUAGCAUUUAACACGGAGAGCCUGUUGACCAAGAUGAGGACUUCUCACUCUCAAAAGGUUUCUACAAUAUGUUUCCGAAUGCUAAAGGGCAACAACAAGGAUCUAAGUCUUGUACCAUUCUUGUAACAUUUGUCAGAUACUAAUCUUAUUCCUGGAUCAAUCAAGUACUUUUUCAUUCCCAUUAUUUUAUUGUUUGGUCUGUUUUUGGCAUUCCUUCUGUUUCAUUUUUACUAUGUAAUACACUUGUCUAAUGCUGUUGACUAAAAACUUUAGACCUAUGCUACUCAAACUGUGAUCAUCAAAUACGGAUAUGCAGAUGACAAAGGUAGUGAAGUUGCUGCUGCAGUUCUUCUUUCAAGGUGAGAUCACAUCUUUGAAAGGUUUUGAAGCCAUUGACAAGCAGCCAGAGCCAAGUCUAUUUGCCCUGGAACCUGCUAGUGCCUACCAUAGUACCUACCAUAGUACCUUGUAGGUAAGACAUGGGGCAAGAUGCCCUGCUCAAAGAAGAAAUGCCUGUGUAUAUCGAUCAAACUUAUUCCCUUUUCACACUUUUGUUCUAUUUUAAGUGAUGCAUUGCCCAGCCGUAUCUCCAUAGUGAUAUAUACUAAAUGUUCACCGUUUUCCUGCAAAUGAGCUUUCAACAUGUGAUCUCGACAUUCUUAAGUAACAGUCAGAUUGUAUUGCCGUAUCAAAAUAGAAAGUUCUGAAA